GACGAACGCUGGCGGCGUGCUUAACACAUGCAAGUCGAACGGAAAGGCCCUGCUUUUGUGGGGUGCUCGAGUGGCGAACGGGUGAGUAACACGUGAGUAACCUGCCCUUGACUUUGGGAUAACUUCAGGAAACUGGGGCUAAUACCGGAUAGGAGCUCCUGCUGCAUGGUGGGGGUUGGAAAGUUUCGGCGGUUGGGGAUGGACUCGCGGCUUAUCAGCUUGUUGGUGGGGUAGUGGCUUACCAAGGCUUUGACGGGUAGCCGGCCUGAGAGGGUGACCGGCCACAUUGGGACUGAGAUACGGCCCAGACUACGGGAGGCAGCAGUGGGGAAUAUUGCACAAUGGGCGGAAGCCUGAUGCAGCAACGCCGCGUGCGGGAUGACGGCCUUCGGGUUGUAAACCGCUUUCGCCUGUGACGAAGCGUGAGUGACGGUAAUGGGUAAAGAAGCACCGGCUAACUACGUG
rnacentral:rRNA from 1 species